UAAGGCAAAUACCCGCUUACAAACACUAUGCUUUCUCAUGCUGUGGCAAGAUUCAAGGAAACUGUCUUAACAAAUGCAAUGUCCUGGGUACAUCUGUUGGUGUGACACAGGUUUGCCCGUCUGUGAGAGGAUAAUGGAGUGGGUGAAGGAUUGUUCUUAGAACUGCCUUGGAGCGUAAGAAAACACAUGGGUCCUGACACGCUGCGGCAUUCCAGGCAUUCAAAGCAAAAGCGCAGGCAGCGCUCUGACAGCAUUUCACAAACUGUCCCAACUUCUUUGGGAUUGGAUUUGUUUAUAAGACAAUAUGACAACUGAUAACUGACGAUCAUGUUCAAAAUGAGGAAGCAGACCCAGAACAUCACCAUAAAUUAGACAGAAUGGUUUUUUUCUGUAACAUUCUCUGGACAGCUGACAGGUGCCUCAUGAAUUUCAACCACAAGCAAAGAUGCUGACUUGGAAAAAGACCCUUGAAGAUGCUGAAAUAAACAUGAGUUUACACCAUGCAGACAUUAAGUGGUUCUUGACGCGUGGAGUGUUGCCUAGCAUAGCAGGGGGUGGACAGACUGGAAUAAGCUUUGCCAGAUUCUUCAAAACUGAGC